CCUACGGGCGGCAGCAGUGGGGAAUAUUGCACAAUGGGGGAAACCCUGAUGCAGCGACGCCGCGUGAGUGAAGAAGUAUUUCGGUACGUAAAGCUCUAUCAGCCGGGAAGAAAAUGACGGUACCUGACUAAGAAGCCCCGGCUAACUACGUGCCAGCAGCCGCGGUAAUACGUAGGGGGCAAGCGUUAUCCGGAUUUACUGGGUGUAAAGGGAGUGUAGACGGCAGCGCAAGUCUGGAGUGAAAUCCCAUGGCUUAACCAUGGAACUGCUUUGGAAACUGUGCAGCUAGAGUGCAGGAGAGGUAAGCGGAAUUCCUAGUGUAGCGGUGAAAUGCGUAGAUAUUAGGAGGAACACCAGUGGCGAAGGCGGCUUACUGGACUGUAACUGACGUUGAGGCUCGAAAGCGUGGGGAGCAAACAGGAUUAGAUACCCUAGUAGUC
rnacentral:rRNA from 1 species